AUACGGAGGGGGCUAGCGUUGUUCGGAAUUACUGGGCGUAAAGCGCGCGUAGGCGGGCUGGUCAGUUGGGGGUGAAAUCCCGAGGCUCAACCUCGGAACUGCCCUCAAUACUACCAGUCUUGAGUUCGAGAGAGGUGAGUGGAAUUCCUAGUGUAGAGGUGAAAUUCGUAGAUAUUAGGAAGAACACCAGUGGCGAAGGCGGCUCACUGGCUCGAUACUGACGCUGAGGCGCGAAAGCGUGGGGAGCAAACAGGAUUAGAUACCCUAGUAGUCC
rnacentral:rRNA from 1 species